UACGUAGGAUGCAAGCGUUGUUCGGAAUUACUGGGCGUAAAGCGUACGUAGGCGAUGACAUAAGUUUAAUAUUAAAGACCGAAGCUCAACUUCGGGAAUGUAUUGAAUACUGUGUCGCUAGAGGUUAAUAGAGGAAAUCGGAAUUCCCAGUGUAGCGGUGAAAUGCGUAGAUAUUGGGAAGAACACCGGUGGCGAAAGCGGAUUUCUGGGUUAAUACUGACGCUGAGGUACGAAAGGGUGGGGAGCAAACAGGAUUAGAUACCCUGGUAGUCCACACGGUAAACGAUGGAUACUAGCUGUAAUGGGAUUCGACCCCUAUUGUGGCGCAGCAAACGCAAUAAGUAUCCCGCCUGGGGAGUAUGGCCGCAAGGUUGAA
rnacentral:rRNA from 1 species